UAUCCAGAUAGCUGUCCGGUGAAGGAAGCCAAACCCGCAGAUAUUUAGAGCUCUACUCACAGAAGACAGCUAUGUUGAUACUUGCAUUAGGGGUCUGGCUCAUUCCAAUGACGCUCAUCUUCGCGCCAUGUAGGCGCCUGGUUCUCCUUGUUGCCAAGCUCCAGGAACUACGAGCCAGCAUCAUGCGCGGUAGGUCAUCGUAUCCAGCAGCAUGGAGUCUCGUGACGAGGAUACAAACAAUAAGCAUCACGCUGUGAGCCUGUGACCGAAGAUUGGAAGUAAUUCCCGAUCGAGAUGUGCAAUUGAGCUUCCAUCAGUUGGGCAGCCCUCGUUAGAAUCAUUCCCUUCAGGGCCUGUUUGUUUGUACUGCAGUUUUGGGAUUUUGGCUCGAAGCUAGCUUUUGACUUCCGGCUGUUGGCUUUUUGGCUAUUGACUUCUGUAAAAAAAAAAAUUAGCUUUUUAGCACACCAAAAGCCAGAAAAGCUCAUAUCAACAUGCUUUUCAGUUUUUUAGUUUAUUUCCUCAAAAGACAGCCUUUCAAAAGCCAACUCAACCGCUGGAUUCUUAGUUUCAACUUUUGGCUUCUGAAACUAAAAGGCCGUCAGUCAUGUAUCAGGUGAGUACCACCUCAACAACCCUAGUUCAUGACUAGUCUUACCCUACAGAUGUUUUCUUGAAAGCUGAAAUUCCUCCUUGUAUGCAAUGCACGAUGGACAUAGUAAGGAAGCAAUGUUACCUUGACACUUACUGUCCAAUGUUCCAACUUAUCUGCGGGUGGACUUUACAGUGCAAAAUGGUCAAUAUCCAUUGAUGGAAAUCCUGACUGUAACAUUUUUAUCCCUUGCAAUAUAUUUUUAGCAGUCUCCUUCUCCUGCACAUAUUGAAUGCAUAUCAGCAGCAUAUGAAAGCAGCGGCGACAUGUAACCAGAAUCAUGGGAAUUAAUGCAAACAGUUUCAUUAGAAUUGAAACCUGAUUGGAGAUCACGGGGAAUCUUCUCCACAGCCCUGCUCCACCAGUCAUCUAGGCUGCAAAAAGCGUUGUCCGGUGAAAGAUUAGGCAACCCAGACCUGCUCAACAAGAAGUACCAGAACUGUCUUGCAAAGACGCAAGAGAUGAAAAGAUGUUGUAUUGUUUCCUCUUCUUGGUCACAAAGGGGACACGCACUGGGAUGGGAAAGUCCUCUUUUAGCAAGACGGUCUGCGGUCCAGCAUCUAUUGUGCAAGACAAGCCAAAGAAAGAAUCUGCACUAGCAAGAAAGAAGUCUUCUUCAUGCGUCUCUAGUUCCAGAUAUGCACUAGCAAGAAAGAAGUCUUUCAUCCAGCGAUUCUUCAGAUUUAAUUUGUUUAAAAUGUCACUGCUGGUGCAUAAAGUUUGUAGCUCUGACCAAGCACUCCAGUUCCAAGGAUAGCUAUUGACAGGUUCUACCAAGAUCUUUCGAGUUA